rnacentral:lncRNA from 1 species
CAGUGACAUAAUUUUUCCUUAUUCCAACUCUCAUGCUUCCCUGUAAUUUUAUUACUAGCACAAAACCUUAUUUUGUGGGCAGAGGUGAGCUCCUGAGGAUCCAAAGUAGUGGAUGACACAGUCACAGACACGUGAUACACACAGGUCAAACCAGGAAUCAUUCUGUCUUGGUUAUCAAUGUCAAAAUGGGCGUUGCCUUCUUUCCUAAAACUCAUUCUCCCUAACUCAGACCUUUUCUGUACUUCCAGAGCUUUCUCCACAGGGCAAAAGCCUGGUUUUGGAGAAAAAUACAGGACUCCUGUUCUGCAUGGUCUUGGCAGGCCUCCUCUUUUUUCCUCUAACACAAAAUGUGCCACCAAAGUGGCACACACCUGGAAUCCAGCAACUUGGGAGGCUAAAGCAGGAAGAUCGCAGGUUCAAAGCCAGCUUCAGCAACUUAGUGAGUCCCUAAACAACUUUAUGAGAGCUGUCUCAAAAUAAAAAAGACUGGGGAUGUAGUUCAGUGGUAAAGC